rnacentral:rRNA from 1 species
GAUGAACGCUGGCGGCGUGCCUAAUACAUGCAAGUCGAGCGAACAGACGAGGAGCUUGCUCCUCUGACGUUAGCGGCGGACGGGUGAGUAACACGUGGAUAACCUACCUAUAAGACUGGGAUAACUUCGGGAAACCGGAGCUAAUACCGGAUAAUAUAUUGAACCGCAUGGUUCAAUAGUGAAAGACGGUUUUGCUGUCACUUAUAGAUGGAUCCGCGCCGCAUUAGCUAGUUGGUAAGGUAACGGCUUACCAAGGCAACGAUGCGUAGCCGACCUGAGAGGGUGAUCGGCCACACUGGAACUGAGACACGGUCCAGACUCCUCCGCGAGGCACCAGUAGGGAAUCUUCCGCAAUGGGCGAAAGCUUGACGGAGCAACGCCGCGUGAGUGAUGAAGGUCUUCGGAUCGUAAAACUCUGUUAUUAGGGAAGAACAAAUGUGUAAGUAACUAUGCACGUCUUGACGGUACCUAAUCAGAAAGCCACGGCUAACUACGUG